GCAUGCCCUUGUCCUUCUGUGAUCCUGAUAGUCAACAGUUUUAUAACGACUGUGCUUUGUUUCUUUUUUAUGGUUCAUUGCUGUCUUUGUGAAGGUGAUCCUAUAGAUCUUGGGUAGUGCUGCGUGUUGGGGAGGUCCUUCAGACCUGCAUCAUGAGCUGGAAGGGUGUUUACCUUAGGAGAAUGUGUGGCACAGUUCCUCAGCUGACGUUCGUAUUAGGUGCUUCUGGGCACCAUGGAGUCUGAUGUGAAGGAGGAUUUUUUUGGCAGUAACAGGUUCUACUGCUUCCCAGGGCCAUUUCCCUGAGGGGCAGAUUGUGACCACAACUAGGAAGCCCAGAAAGGACCAGAAGUUCAGGAUAAAUGUUCAUCUUGAGCCUGCCUCCUCCAUGGCCCCUUGUGUGUAGGUGAUCCACGUUCAGGUGGGCUCUGCCCAUCCAUCCUCCAUCAGCCAGCUGCCCACAAAGGCACGACUGCCUCUUCUCCUGGUACAGAGCGUCCCUGGAGGUGCCUUUCCCAGGCAGCAGCUCAUGGGAACUGGGGUCACAUACAGCCCCCUUCCCAUCCCCAUCCCUGGCUGCGACAGCUGGGAUUGUUUCUCUGCAAGUCUAAUAUGGUACGUGUGGUCCCCUCCUGGAGCACUGCUGGGUGUAAGCUGAGCCCUGGAGCUGUCUGUAGGAAGCUGUGGUGGAGAGAGGUGCAGGGAUCCCAGGGGCAUCUGCUUUCCUGCUGCACCUUCUGCCCACACCCCCAAGAACUUCUGCCUUUCAGACCCCCCAGGAGCCACGUGCAGGUUUAGAGACCCCCAGGAUGCACCACACUGAAGCUGCAAGGUCUGAUGGAUCACAGAAUGCCCCAAGUUGGAAAGGACCCAUAAGGAUCAUCGACUCCAACUCCUGCCUCCACUAAGAGCUGCACAACCAGACAGCAAGUUGCUAGCUCAUCUUGGUUUAUCCUAAGGUGCAGCCUGUGUGUUCAUUCUCUUUUCCAGAAGAAGAAGAAGAACAGGUGACCCAAUGAUUAGGACCUAAUGGGUGACUCAACAAUUAGGACCUAGGCAUCUGCAUCUGGCAGCUAUCCAGAAGAUAUGAAGGAGAUUCUGCACAUCCUGGAGCUGGCCUGGUGAAGCUGAGAGCAGAUGGAUGGAUGGACCCAGCGCUGCUGAUCCGUGGCUGUGCAUUGUACACGGAACCACUCACGUGAUUCCUGUCGAGCCAAAAUAUUCUUUCAGAAAGAGAAUUGACCAGAUGCCUUAUUAUUAUUGCUCACAAUACUGUCCUCAGAGUACAGCAAUCCAUCACGGGGCUCGGCACAGCCCUACAGAAAAGUCCCUGACACAUUUGUGCAGAAGGGCCAGGUUCUCACCACUUGUGUGCAUUUGUAUUCCUUGACAAAUAGCUGUUUGACUUCAGUUUUGUUCCAAGUCAGUGGUGUCAAGCGCAGGGCUCCUAUUCAAGUGCCCACCAAUGGUGAUGCACAACUCACUGCUUCCUCUUCUUUUCUUGCUUUGUUUCCCUGUGACAGUCACUGUUUCUUUUUUUUUCCUUCUCCUCAAGUAUCUCAUAGGUUUGCUUUAAAGAUAGUUUUAAAGGAUAUAUUCACAGCAAAAAAAAUGCCUUUAAAUAAGAACUGUAACAAUGGCUCAGGACUAGAUGUGAUGGGGAAUUGCCAUUUGCAUAGGUUGCUGAUAUGACACUUGAUUAUUUUCUGGUAAUUAUUCCAAGUUGAUUAGCAGACUGGCUAGCAAAGCCUUGGGCGCAUUGAGAAGUACUGUGGUUUGGCCUGUGCUCAAUGUAUGGUUCCUCUUAAGACUGAGAGGUGUGUUCCUGAGUGCUCUGAGCACCUCGGAUGUGUGAUAGAAUUGUUAUUACCAGGUUAUGAGCGGUGCUGUUUGUCCUUCUGAAUCAGCCUUUUAGGCAAGCCGUUGACUUUAAAUUGCUUUCUGAGUUAAAUGUAUCCCCAAGGUUGCCUAUAAGGAACAGACUCCAGCUGUGUCAUGUGCUUGUAUGAACUUAUAGCACAGUGAUAUCCCUCUGUUUCAGGUGUAUUGAGAGCAUGGGGACUGAGGGAUGUACAGGAAGCCAAGCUGGGAGUAGAAGCACAGCCACAAAUGCAUGCUCGCAGGUAAGGGGUGUCUGAACAUUACCUCCUUCAGAGGAAUCCAAUCCAUUAGUUGAGUGUACCACUCUUCAAGUUGUCGCAGUGGAGCUCCCAGAGUAGGGAUGAAGUCCACACACAGCAGUGUAUGCAGUCCUGGCUGCGUAAUGUGACUUUCUGUCAUACUUUUCCCUCCGACUUCAGCGAGUAAUUUGUGUGCUCACAGAGCAUUUUCCAUCACAUGAGCCUGAAAUGGAAGAGGAUUUAUGGAAUGGAGUGCAUGAGGCACCAAUUCAGCAAAUACCAGAGUGCGUAUGUAAGUGUUUGCAGGUCUAAAUAUGCAAGUGGUCUUGAUCUUCUUAAGCUGCUCCAUACUGCUGACUCCAAUGGCUGAUGUGAGAACCUGCACACAGUUUACACAUCAAGAUUUUUAGAAGUUUUGUGUAAUGAGAGCUUUCUCACUGUGUUGACCGAGCAUCGUCUUCCACUCGCUACCAUUCUCAGCCUGUUUAAUAGAUUUACUGCUACUGAGCACCCUCAGCGGAUGCAGAAUGUCACGUUGUCAGUGCAGUGGCCUCAUUACUUUCUUCAGAUCUUAAGAUCUCAUUCUUUUAAAUUUUGGCAAGUACAUGAUGGUGUAUCUGACCUAUUACUGCUCCUUUCUUCUUCUGACCUGUUGAUGCCUCCCAGCCACGGUUCAUCAUUAUAGAGGCUGUUGGUGGCCCUGCCUAUGCUCUGAUGCUUCCUCUGGAGUUCAGCUUCGAAGUAAUCUCACAUCACACUGCAAACUUUUUUUCAAGCCAGGUGAAGCCUGAGGGCUCUUGUGGCAGAUAAUGUGUGUCUUAACCAGUAAUUGUAAAGUUGGGCUCUGUAAUUAAUUUUUCUAUAAAACUCUCAACCUCAAGGUGAACUUUCCUCCAUCUAUUAAUAAUUAGCACGGGGGAAGAAUACCCUUGUCUGGAGGCAGAAGACAGAAAUGAGUGGGGAAGAAAGGCAAUUAACUCCUUUGUGUGAAUGAUGGAUGUUGUUGGGUCGUGUCUCAGGACGUGAAAAGCCACGUGAAACAAAACUUUGGCUGAAAGCAGCGUGGUUUCAGCCUUUAAAAGAAUUGGAGUCAAUAGCCCUGGAACAGGCACCACAGCCCCCACCCAGCAGAUUCCUCUCAUUCCAACAUAAGCUCAGAGAUACCUGUGUGAUUCUUCAUGGAAGUCUGUUUAACCUGUUUCUGCUUUGGGGAUCAUUGGGAUGUCCUUUCUUUUUGUCUUUUUCUUUCCUUUUUUCGUUCCCAAACGUGGUGCUGAGAAGCAGACACAAUUGCUUGGAUGCUCAUGUUAGCCCCUCUGAGCUGCAGCUUUGGGAAAAGCAAUUAUCACAAGAACAGUUAGCAGUGCAUUAUAACUCCUGCAAUGGAGGGCUCUGUCAGAGAACAGACUUCCCCAGAUCUUCACAUGGAAUCGAUUAUACACCCUGGUGAGCUGGAGUUCCCUGUUGAAGGACAACGUGAUGCAUCCCCAUGUAAACCUGUGGGCAGCGGGACUUGUUCUGCCAGAUUCAAAGGGAUGAGAUUAACAUCUGACAAAAGCAGACAGCAUCUGACAAACCUUCACACUGAAGAUUGGAAGUCUGCCGAGCUUCUGCACGAGAGACCUGUCUGUGAUUCGGAGCUCACCAGGGUCUGCAGGCCAGAGACUGCAAAGGGCUGCAUCAAAGGAGCUGAGUGCUGGAGAUGUGGCUGAGAUGGAAAUGAAGGUCUAAAGUCCCAAACUGGAAACCACCCAGGCCUCCUUCCUCAACUCCCUCCUGAUGCUAAUGUCCUCCAAUUUUGUACUGCGCAAAGAACUGGCCGUGGGGGUGAGGACUUGCAAUCCACAGAUGACCUGAUGUCCUGGCAUCCAAAGCACUGUGAGUUUAGCUGGAAUUGCACAGGGGGAAUUUCUGUGCGUUUCAGAGAACAGGAUCUGCCCUAGCAGUGUAUGUUGUUGAGUCACAUCUGCUUUUGUCUAAACUGAAGUCCGUACGCCCCACCCCUUCCUAAUGGAAUCAUGAUAUUAAUUGGAGCUGACAGGGAAUUUCCCAACUUGGAUAUGCAGUCAUUGGUGCAGGCUGAAAUUUCCAGCUGAAAAUACGCUAUAAUACUGGAGGGUUGUUGCAAAAUCAUGCCAGAAAAGAAAAAAAAAAACAAAAACACAGAACUUCUACUACAAGUCUAACCUUCUUUUGAAACCACAUCCAUUUCUGUCUCCUGUCUGUGACUUCUCAGCUGUCUGUGAGUAGCUGGAUGGCUGCUGGGAAUGGCAGGCAUCUCUGCUGUUCCCUGCCUAGGUGAGGCAGCUCUGACAGAAAUUAGAAAUGGAUGUUAAAUGACCUAUGUGAGCAGCAAGGCCUUAUUUGUAUGCUGCAGCACCUCUGUAGCACCAGGCAUGUUCAUGUGCUAACAUGGUAUCAUGUUGGUACCAGUAGGUGCCAUAAAUUGUGUUUUACGUGAUCACUGUAGCUCUUGCUUGCUGCUUACCCAUAAGAAGAGCUUUACGAAUUGCAUGUAUUUUGAUUGUAACUGCUACAGAUGUUCAUAACCUGUGAAACUGACCUUUUUGCAGCUCUUUGGCCUUGACACGUGAAUAGUGAUGAAAUCUUGGCAGCUCCUUGCUUUUCCUAGCAUUUGGAAGCUGUAACAUUACAGAGCAUCGCAGGCAUCUCAGAAAAGUGCAUAUCUUAAUUUAUUCCAGCCUUGAGAAUAUUCUUCGACUAUUCUGAUAAUCAGCCCUUCAAUGCAUAUGAAUCCUUGGCACUCCCCACCAGUUCUGUACCAUGGCUUGGCAAAGGAUGCUUGUAUGAUACCCAACCAUCUCGAGCCUUGAGUCCAAUCAGUAUUCCUAGUGAUAAUGACUUUGCAGGCCGUGUGAUUCUAAAGUUUCUCACAUGAAAAUAAGUCACUGAAGUCUGGAAACAGUCUCCUUAGUGGUUCCAUUUAGAAGCCCAAGUGAAUACAGGUCCCGAGGAGAUCAUUGCCUUAAUGGUCCUUUUCCCAUGUGCUUUUCCCAUAUGUGUUUCUCCACAAGGCCUUCUCUCCACCUGUGUGUUUCUGGUUGAUCUUUGGCUUUUCUUUUUUGGGGCUGUGUGCAGCUCCAUUAUUAUCAAGAUGUGUUUCUUACUGCAGUGAAAUCUUUCUCCUGUAUCAUUUCCCAUCUCCUCCCUAUUCACUCUCCCUGCCGACAUACGAUGGGGUUUCUGCUCAAAACCCAUCAGGUGGCAAGAUGUGAAACCUCAGCAUCUAUAAAUGUGGCAGACUCAUCGGGAAUCCUAGGAAGGGCCUCUCUAUCUCCUAGCAUGGCUGUGCUUGAAUGGUGGAAAGGUCUGUCUAUAGUUUCCCUUGUGGCCACCUACAAAAGGAGCGCCCUGCAUUUAAGUACAUUCUAUUUACUAAAAUUAGGUGAUACGUAACUCUUUUCAUUUAAAAAAAAAAAAAAAUCUGCUCUUUUUAAGACCUCCUCAGCAAAUCAGUCAUUUCUUCUUUCUACAUUCAAUUAAUUUUUUACAAUAUGCACUAGUUAUUUGUGUGUGUACCAGAUUUGUGUGGGCUUGACGCUGACUGGCUGCAUGUGUGUUUACAAUAGCCCUUGUGUUAUCCCAGACAGCAGCCUAAAAACACUUCCAAAUUAUUCCACAUCAGAAGCAAAGAGGGUUUGGAUAGGCUCCUAGGGGAAAGUCUUGAAGUGCUGCCCAAACCUCAGUCCCAGUGCUGUAAGUCAGGCACGUGGCUGAUACUUUAUCCACCCAGCUUGGACUUUUGCAAGCUGUGGAGGGAAUGGGAACUUGGGAGCAAUUUUAAUCAGUGAUUUCUCGGAGAUGGGCUUCUUCCUUUCUUUUGUCCUUUUUUCCUCCUCUUGACACGCCUGUGUGCACUUUGCCCAUGUUUUCUCAGAAUUGAUGGAAAAUAUGUGCACAUAAGCACAAUAGCAGGGCUGUGCUAAAACAAAACCCCACAGCGGAUAAAGACCGACCUGUUUCCAAUUUAUGCCUUUUUAUGCUGAUUUUAUGCUUCACUUGAAUGCCUGUAGGUGGAUGUGCACUAGGGACUUCAAACUCAGCGUUGUCAUUAGGGCUUGGGGUUUGUUACUGAAUGUGGGCUGGGUAAGUCCAAACUGAAAUGGUGCUGUCAUCAACAGCUGGUAAUGCUCCAGCAAAUGCUCCAGGCUUCGUCCUCGUAAGUGUCACGGUGGUGGUGAUCAAAGCUGCAACUUCUGUGAACGGGAAGUGAAUUUCUGCCCGACUGAUGGGUCCUCACCUCUUGCACAGCUGUGUCUCCUACUGCCCUGGGACUGAGCAUGGCUGGGCGUUCUACUUCUGAACUUCCAUGUUGAUGCCGUAUGGCAUGGAGGAACAGCUGCCGUUUGGGUGAGCCAGGCCCUGAAAGCAGCUAGCCUGAAAGCUUUGCAUCCUUCCAGUAGGUCAGGCUACAAGGUAGGGCUGCCUUGCUAUUUUGGGCCUGAAACCGUAAUUCCCAAAGUGCAAUGCAUGGACUGGCAGCAGCUGGGCAAGACUUUGUGUGCACCUCUAUGCUUUUCUGCCACGCAGGUAUUUCACUGCAAACAAGUUCUUCAUUACAUAGCACGCACCCUGAACUCACGAACAAGUGGAAGUCUGCAGUGAUUAUUCACAGCAGCUUAAGUCAGCAGUUUUGUAGCUGUCUCCCAGGCCACUGUAGGUCAGUCACGGCCAACAGUGUUGGAAACGGAUUGACAGUGUUUUGUUGGCCAGCAGUGAGAUUUCAGCUCUAGAAGUAUGUGAGCUCUCUGUGUUUUAGCUGGGCUAAAGAUAACGUUGUUAUCCAGAGAUGCUGGCAUCAUUGUGGCUUAGGGCUCAGUACAUGAGCCAUCUCUGAUCUCGCAUGUUGAGUUACUCAAGUAAUGGCAUACUGUGCUGUUGGAGUGAAGAUCACUUUAAGAAAUGUUAUUUAGAACCAGUACACGCAUUGAUUUAGGAAUGCAAAAUGGUUUUAUUACUAUCUCAUCUCAAAACCUUUCCCUUGACCGUCUGUUACUCUGAAUUGCAAAAUGUAUUACAGAACCACAUCUGUCAUACUUUAUAAUGUGAGAUAAGACAUGCUAUGGUUGCAUGCUUGCUUGCUCUCUCUCCCUCUCCCCCUGCUCCAGAGUAAUGCAGGAAUGAUGUAGGCAGUGUCAAACCUCAAAUCAGGUGCAUCACGUUUUGCAUUGGGUUAGAAGAAAGAUGUGCUUUGGAUUGGAUGGACAAAGAAGAGUCUCUCACCAGCGGUUCCUCAGCUGAACCUUGAACAGGGGUCAGGCUCCCAGACCAGACGAAGAGACAAGUUAAAUAUUUCAUAACUCCUUAGCACUUGAUUUUGCAGGUCUUCCUUUUGGCCAAGUAGAGACACAUGGACAUUCAUAGACAUAGCCUUAAAAUGUCCUUUGGGGAAUCCCACUCCCCCAAAGGCAGCUGCGGUCAGGAUUCUGCAAAGCAAACUCUCACAGCAACACCAGUCAAAUGAUUUUGAUUGCCUGCUAAGUUGCUGAGGCUCCAAGCCAUUUGACCACUCGGUAUGUACACAUAUGGGGUCACCUCAAGGAGCACUCUCUUGGAUCCACCAUUUCCCAUAUUUUUUUUUGUAACGAACCCUGCAGGAUGUGAACACACCCUACCAGAAGGAGAUGUAUUUGCCGUCACUUGAUUCAAGGAGAUGGAGCUCUGGGAUGCUUGUUGCUUUCUUCUUCAACUUUAUAACAGAAAUGCAGGAAUUCUGCAACACUCAAUGGCCUUAAAGAGAAAAGCAGCAAUAAUUGUGCUGGAGCUUGAGCCAAUUCUUGUAUUCAUUCGAGUAAGGAAGCUUUUAUCACUCAUGGAGUAAUGAUGCAUUUUUAGAGUAUUUCACACCUACUUUAAAUCUCAGUAAAGACCAUGAAAGUUCUUUGGUCGUGGCCACAUGGUAUAUAUUGUUGAACAGCCUGUUAAAAUGAAUCAACCUAGAUUAAGUAGCCAAAAUUACCACUUGCUAUCACUUCCCUGAAUCCUUUCCCUCGGAGACAGCCCUAUGGAGAGGCUGAACACUGAUUAAACACUCCUCUGCCAAGUGGAGUCCGAAAAAUUCUGGCAAGAAUUGUGUGCAACAAGAGAUGUAAGGGGCUCAGUGCAUUGCAUUGGUCUGCUUGAAUCUCAACUGACCCCGGCUGCAAAAUCCUUCGUUAGAGAUCCUUCCGUCUGCCUGAUGAGAGCUUCUGUAUUCUGGCCCUGAAUUUCCUUGUUCUCUCCCCAGUGGUAUUAUCUUGUGAGUUCAUUAUUAUUGCUGGCUGUAAUUCACACUCCUAUACUCAAUGCUUGGAGGAUGCAGCCAUGCAGAGCAGGGGUGCGGUACGGAAGCUUAGUCUGUGUGCUUUCAGAUACACGUGCUGCUGGAGGAGGGCAGAGGGGAAAGGAACAGCUGCUUUGUGACCUUUCCCUGCUUAAACAGCAGCAAUGGCUCCAUCUUUACAAGGCCCUUUUGACCUGGGCAGGCUGGAUCCAUCAGCAGAAGAGUGCUGCUUUGUGCCAGCUGCUCUGCAGCCCCCGGAUAAAGCUUGUGGCUUGUGAGAAAUGGAAAAAGAAAGGAAGUUGGAUUGAAAUGAAGAGAAGUGGUGCGUUGUAGACCAAGUCCAGUGCCUGGGGAGCCACAUCCCAUCUCUUCAUGUGAUGCCACGAGGCAGAUAGAGCUCAUCCAUCACUCUGAGGCAUGCGUCCAAGCCUUCUAAUUACUCAGCUCCGAGCUCUUCUUACAGCAGCUUACCUAAAGGAGAUGGCAGCCAUGGCCGUAUCCACGUGCAUCGCUGCUCUAUGGGUGUGGGUGUGCAGAUGAACUGCUGUAUGCUUGGGGGCAGCAAAAGGGAUGGAGCAGCACAAGGCCAAGCGUCAAGGCAGGAAAAGUGGAAGAGAAGGAGCUCUGAUCCACAGAGGAGCAAGAAGCAGAUGAGGAAGAAAAAUCAAACUUUUUUUCACUGAGUUCUGGUGAAGAGUCAGAGAUGUGGAAGUGACCUUUUUGAAACGGACCUUCUGAUGCUUCAGACUAAAAGGCCUGCAAUGGUACCGCCAGGUCAUGACCUGAACCAAUGGUUGAGCACCAGGUUUAGCACUGGAGGGAGCAGAGUUUCUCCAGAUAGAGAUGGCACUUCUCUUGAGCUGCUACUGGUCAUCAGAAAGGGAAGAAAAGGAAAAUCUAGGAAGAGAAGCAGGCGCACACACAAAGACAAAUUUCAUUAGGCUCUAAUCUCUGACGGGCAGCUCCUUUCCGACAAACACUCCCUUUCAGCCCACCGUGCUUUGCUGUUGUUUUGUUCCCACCCAAACGCAUCCUAUCCCAGGACAGCACGAAGCACCAGGUCGGACACCUCCAGUAAAUGCCACAUCCUGGCAUGAAGCGAAGAGAUGCUGAAAAGGGUGGAAUCGGAUGCCCAAAUGGGAUGGGCAGGACCUCCAGCAUGCCCUUCAUCAGUGGGAGCUCUGGAAAGCCACACAGCAUCCUGUGGAAAUCACAGCAUCGUUUGCUGCUGAUGCUCAACCUGGAUGGCCAGAAACCCUAUUGAUCAAGAGGCUGUGUCCUACAAAAGGGAGAAAUAGGUCAGCAGAUACGUUAAUCCCAGCUUGAUCUAAAGUCUUCGGGACAGGUGGCAACCCUCAUUUAAUGGAACAAUGAGAUCAUUAGGAAUUCGUAAUGAACUGUACCGCGGCCAUGGAAGUAGGUCACGCUUACCCCAGGAAGACAUCAAAAUGAAUCUGUUCCCAUUCAUGUGCAGGAGUGGAGAUGGCUGGGGGCAGACCGAUAGCUCUGCCUUGGGAUCUGCUCACCAGAUGAUUUUAGGAAUGAAAGGGGGCAAAUGCAAUGGACAUAAAAUGAUUUACAUCGUCCCAAGUGAUGAGAGGACUUAAAACAUGGGCAGAUUGAGUUGGAGGUGUUGCGUCUCAUUGGCCAUGGGCCGUAGCUCUGCUGCCCUGGGGGGGAUGGCAGGAGGAUGGUCAGCCUGGGAAGAAGCAUUUCCCAAAUGGGUCCCAAAUCAGGGUCAGUGACCACCCAGGAGGAAAGAGAAGAGCCCUUCAGUCCUACCAAGGUCCCUAGGACUGAAAGUCAAGUAUGCUUCGUGUCAGUAAGCUGUUUUGCUCUGUAGACUUUUUCCUGCUCCUGUUGAUUUUUGCAGGUGAGAAUCAAGUGCUUGUGAUAGGUCUAUGAAUCAGAAAAGUUCCUUUUCUUCCCUGCAUUCCCUACUGCCUCCAAACCCUGACAUUCUUACAGUCCUAUGUAAUUCUGUUAGCCACCAAGAAGGCAGGCUGCUGCCCUGCAGGAGGAGAGCAGGCAGGCUGGGCUAUGAGGAGGAGAGAGCUUAGCUGAGCUAGCAAACAGCCCAGGAUUGAAAAUAGGAAAGGUUAGGAAAAUAUUGUGCCAAAGAUGCAAUAAGUGGUAGUGGGGCUUUGAGGGUUAUUUUAUUUUAUUUUAAAGGCAUAUUUGAAGGAAGCCUUUUAUAAAUAUUUAAACACAAGAAACUGAUAAAGUAACACGUGGGGGCUGGUUUGAACUCCUCCAGUAAGUCACCAUGCAAAACUCAUGCUGCUACCAAGGAUCCCUAUGUUGCAGUGUACUUCCAGGGAUAGGGUUCACCCAUUCUCCAUAUUAGCUUUGGCUUUUGUCCUAACACCACACAGUCAUUAAGUGCAAGGUGACAGGAGGUGGAUGGAGAUAUUUUUCUGGAAGAAUGGGAAGGUAGCUAGAAAAUUCUUCAGGUCUGGGGGACUGCUGAAGAUGGGCUGAUUUUGUUGGAUUAUUCAGGAAAGGGCAGCCUAAAUGGGAACCCAGUCUGGCCAUGGUUGCUGUGUUACUGAUGGUAUGGCAUUCAAAAGAAGUGGGAAGAAAAAGUCCCAUAUGCGUGCGUCCCUGGCCAUUAACGAGGAAGGAAGACUGCACUGUGGUGAUGCCAGCCCCCUGACCUCAGCCCUGCCCCUCUGCUAUCAGUUCUGAGGGCUUAAACAAAAGGUAAUAUCCAUUUGGCUGCGUGCCGGGCAGCUGAUAAGGGAUCACCUCUCACUGUUAAUGAGGAAAACUGACACAGCCUUAAAACGUGUCCAGAAGAAAAGUGAAAACAUUUCAAAGAGUUCCUUGAAAUGGAACAUUUCUAGUCCUUGAAAAAAAAAACACAAGGUAAGCGCGGUUCAUGUCAGUAAACAUUUUCAGCUUCCUCUUAAAUAAGGUCUGUAAAAAUUAAAUCAAAUCCUCUUGAAGUUCUGAUGUUGAAAUGGAGAUUUUUUUUUUAGAAGAGUGAAUUGAAAUGCCAUUUCCAGGCCCAGUGUGUCAGAGAUUCGUGGGAGCUCUCCGAGGUCUGCCUGGAGCAACCCAUUCCAACCUUGAGCAAGGCUUAGCCAAGAUGACCUGAGACCAUAGUGUUUCUUGUGCACACAAAGAGAUUCAAAGCAAGUACUGGUGGGCUAUUCUUAACUUUAACAAUCUUUAUUUUAAAAAGAAAGUAAAACUCAAGGAUAUUUUUCAAAUAUGAUAAAGCAUUGAUUCCUGGUGCCUUUCUGCUUGUCUUUGCCAGCAGCUGUUUGGUUUUGUUGUGGUUUUUUUUUUUGUUUGUUUGCUUUUUGUUUUUGUCCUAUCCUAGUAAAGGAGCCUCACAGAAAUAAAUCUUACACCUCACUGGAAGCAAAAACAUCAUGGUAGCCAGGCUGACAUGUCAGAAAAUCUGGAUUCAAAUCGUAUCUUGCUAGUAACCUCCCAUGUGGUUCCUUGGAGAAACCUCUGUCCUUCUUGCUUUUUCCACCUGGACAGACAAAUUUAUCUUUCUUUAUUUUCAGUGAGCACUCUUGAGACAGAUACAGUAGUUAAACUGCUGUUCCAUUGUUAGCUAUUCACAAUGGUUGGAAACAUUAAAACAGUAACAGUCAUUAACAGCUUGAGUUAGAUGACAAGAGUUUUACAGUAUGCAGUGUUGAAAUGUGUCGUGCUAAAGCUGCUUCCAAAACACACAUGCAAGAGGAUAGCUCUAGCUGCUUAUCUCACGUGGAACUGGCAAGUUCUUUAUAUUGUUGCUGAGCGGUGUUUCCUCCUUGUGUGUACAUGCAGACUAUGAGUGAUGCUAUCUUAUCUUCUUUUUCAUGCUGGCAGUCUUCCCGCUAACUCAACCUCUUUUCUAAAGAUAAAAAUUGGCAACAGGCUAUGCUGGUGUGGUUGGCGUCCAAGGCUGUGGGUUCCUGUCAUUGCUUACUGUGCAGGCAAAGCUACAUGCCUCCGUGAAGGCAUUCAUUUUCAAGCUCCUGGACAUUCAGGUAGAUAUGUAGUAUCUUCUAUGUGGAGGAAUAAACAAGAUGACCCCUACAGGCCUGUAAAUCCAUGGCAUUCCCAGUCUGGUGUCUUUCUUGUUGGCGUCUAGUUAAGAGAAGAAAUUCCUCUUGAAGACCUCAGUGUUUCAUUUAUCAUUUAUGGGACAGACAGACAGAGAAGACAUUUUGUGGUUCUGUUCAACACUUUUAGGUCAAUGAGAAUUCUUCCUUCUUGGCCAUUUUGGAUGAAAAUCUUAAAGUAUUAAAAAAAAAAAAAGUAUUUUUAAAUGCUUACAUCUGGGGACAUGCCAUCAAAUCUAGCUUAGAUGUGUGUUUUAUUAACCAGAUGGUAAUGUCUUAUUUACAUUUCUCAUAUAAAACCAUCUGUGCCUAAACUGGGGAGAUGCUGCCUCUUGCUACAGUUGGGAGUUUGGCUGCAGGGGGUGUAGCAUUGCUUUUGUUAGCGUUCAGUUUUCCUCACUCUUCAGAGCUGAAUAUGUAACACUAGUUUUAUUUAACCUUGUUCUAAUUAUAGGAUUACAAAACUGCAGUUGGCUCUUUCUGCAACAUUUUGCUGGCACCCUGUAUUUGCUGCCCUUAAACAAAAUUGAAAUCUAUUGCCUUGUUUUCCCUUGAUACUGAACUCAUAAUUUGCCUCCUCUAUUUGCAUCCCUUGCAUGUAGCAUUCUCUACCACCAAAUAAUUCCUCUUCCUCCUUGGUGUGAAAUCCUGGCUACACUGAAAUCAAUGGAAGUCUCGACAUCGGCUUUGACAAGGCUACAAACAAGGUCAAAAUAACCAUUCUGAGUACUAAGAGAGCUCCAUCACAUCAACUUGCUGCAUAAUUCCCUUCUGUCAGACUGGCUUCAUAGGCUUGGAUUUUGUUGCCUGCCGCUCUCUACCAGACCCUUGCAAGCUACACAAGUGAAAUCUACAAGCAAUGAAGAAUAAGUCCUAUGCUCUCAAGGAAAAGAUGAGAAAUUUAGGUGCUAAAAAAUGGAAACUCUCCAGCAAUACCUAUGCUUACCUCUUGUCUCUCUAGAGGUGCCUUUACUGUCUCAUUAUAUGCUCCAGGAUUGUGUUUACUUGAGAGAACUGAGGGAAACAGGCAGAACUGAGUGGUGAUGGGACUGUGGUCUUAUGCAGCCACGUAUCUCUACAUGGAAGGCAUUAGGAGGAGGUGGGUCCAUUGCGUUUGCUCUCAGACCUUGGGAAAGAAGCCUGGGAGCUUCACAUCCCUCCGUGUGAGGAGGAGAUGGGAAACGCUCAGCACAGACCGCUCCGUCUUAAGGCUUUCCCAUCACACUGAUUUUAUUUGUGUUUUGAGAUAACUCAAGAUUCGCCGUGGCGUGCUUACAGAACCGUGGUUGUGCUGGGAAUCUCAGGCAGGGUCAGGGCAGGCAGUUUGCUUUGGCAGGCACGGUGUGAGCGCGUGGGGUGAGGGCUGACCACCGCCUUCACUCCACAUUGAUGGGUUGGCCAUUUUCCUUGGGUGGUGGCCAGCCGUUCCUGCUCGAUUCACAUUACAGGGCUAUGUUUGCACUCUUCUCCAUCAUCCCAGCCAUCCAGAUGUGUGACAGACGCGCACACAUGCACUGUGGAUGCUGUAUUUUGGCUGCAGCUGAGGUAAAUAUUAUUUCUAUAUCAUGAGGAGGAUGAAAUGAUACCUCUGGAGGAUUUGGGAAAAAGACAGAGGAGUCUCAGUUUGUUAUGAGCACACUGUCAUGCAACAAGAAAUAAAGCAAGAGAAGAAAAUGCAGCCUACUGAUAAAAAGGAUUUUGGCCUUCAAGCGGAUCCUGGUCAGCCCCUUCCAAAAAAACAACAUGUUGUUUGCAAUGGCAUCCUCCACCCCUUGUUUUCUGUUGCUAUCAGGACACUUCUUCCCCCUCUCCUACAAUGCGAGUUGCUCACAGCUGCUCAGCUGCAGCUCACGCAGAGCCUGACUCUGGGGUCCUCAGCCUGGAGGGGAUAGGAGAACAACACAAGCUCAUCCAACUGGUAAGAUCCUGUCCAUAAAUUAGAAGUGCAGGCUCACAACUCUUGUUUUUAAACACUAAGCACAUCUGAUUGCUGUGCUAAAGACUCUCAUCCUAGCAGAAAACUAUAAUGAUCACAAAAUCCUGCUUAAUGGGGAAAAAAUGGGUACAUGGCAGAAGCACGAGGUUGGCUUGGAAUGUAUCUCUUGCCCCAUACCUGGCACCAUGUGACAUCCAAAGCACAUCACAGCCAUAGGAUGGCAUCGUGAUGCUGCUGUGAGAUUGUCCCAUGUGCACAGACUAGAGCACCCCAACCUCAUCCCUGUCCCCAUAGGCAGUGGUAGUGCAGGGAGGGAGGGCUACCCAACACAGGGCAAUGUGUUCGCAGGGUGCUUUCCAUCCCUUUUCUCUAUAACCUCCACGUAAACAUAGUUACGUACAACAUCCCACACUGAGUUUUUAAGGAGGAUUUUCUGAGCAAGAAACAGAGUGUUGCCAUGCUGCAAAGGUAGCUGGGCUGAUGGGUGGGCGUUUCAUGGUUCCCCCCACCAGAUGUGCUCUUCUCUACCCACUGUGUCCGUUCUGUGAAAAGUGAGUAGUGCUUUCUCCCCAUUCAUACCUUUCUUAAUAAAAUAAAGUAUUUUUCCAGACUGCCCAUGAUUUAAAUAAAGCAGGAGCAGGUUAAA